rnacentral:rRNA from 1 species
UAGGGAAUCUUGCGCAAUGGGCGAAAGCCUGACGCAGCGACGCCGCGUGCGGGAAGAAGGCCUUCGGGUUGUAAACCCCUUUCGGCAGGGGACAAGCCGUUUCGGCGGUGAGGGUACCUGCGGAAGAAGCGCCGGCUAACUACGUGCCAGCAGCCGCGGUAAUACGUAGGGCGCGAGCGUUAUCCGGAAUUAUUGGGCGUAAAGAGCUCGUAGGCGGUUUGUCGCGUCUGCUGUGAAAGCCCGGGGCUCAACCCCGGGUCUGCAGUGGGUACGGGCAGGCUGGAGUGCAGUAGGGGAGACUGGAAUUCCUGGUGUAGCGGUGAAAUGCGCAGAUAUCAGGAGGAACACCGAUGGCGAAGGCAGGUCUCUGGGCUGUAACUGACGCUGAGGAGCGAAAGCGUGGGGAGCGAACAGGAUUAGAUACC